AUUGAACGCUGGCGGCCGGCCUUACACCUGCCAGUCGAGCGAGCGGCGGACGGGUGGGUAAUGUAUGGGGACUGCCCGCUAGUGGGGGAUAACUACUGGAAACGGUAGCUAAUACCGCAUACUAUCGGAUAACCCAUAUGGGAUUAGCUAGUAGGUGCGGUGAUGGGUCACCGAGGCGACGACCCCUAGCUGGUCUGAGAGGAUGAUCAGCCACACGGGGACUGAGACACGGCCCAGAGUCCUACGGAGGCAGCAGUGGGGAAUAUUGCACAAUUGGCGCAAGCCUGAUGCAGCCAUGCCGCGUGUAUGAAGAAGGCCCUAGGGUUGUAAAGUACUAUCAGUCGGGAGGCGUUAGCGACAGAAGAAGCACCGGCUAACUCCGUGCCAGCAGCCGCGGUAAUUC
rnacentral:rRNA from 1 species